rnacentral:rRNA from 1 species
GACGAACGCUGGCGGCGUGCUUAACACAUGCAAGUCGAACGGAAAGGCCCUGCUUUUGUGGGGUGCUCGAGUGGCGAACGGGUGAGUAACACGUGAGUAACCUUCCCUUGACUUUGGGAUAACUUCAUGAAACUGGGGCUAAUACCGGAUAGGAGCUCCUGCUGCAUGGUGGGGGUUGGAAAGUUUCGGCGGUUGGGGAUGGACUCGCGGCUUAUCAGCUUGUUGGUGGGGUAGUGGCUUACCAAGGCUUUGACGGGUAGCCGGCCUGAGAGGGUGACCGGCCACAUGGGGACUGAGAUACGGCACAGACUCCUACGGGAGGCAGCAGUGGGGAAUAUUGCACAAUGGGCGGAAGCCUGAUGCAGCAACGCCGCGUGCGGGAUGACGGCCUUCGGGUUGUAAACCGCUUUCGCCUGUGACGAAGCGUGAGUGACGGUAAUGGGUAAAGAAGCACCGGCUAACUACGUG